AGCGAACGCUGGCGGCAGGCCUAACACAUGCAAGUCGAACGAAGUCUUCGGACUUAGUGGCGGACGGGUGAGUAACACGUGGGAACGUGCCUUUAGGUUCGGAAUAACUCAGGGAAACUUGUGCUAAUACCGAAUGUGCCCUUCGGGGGAAAGAUUUAUCGCCUUUAGAGCGGCCCGCGUCUGAUUAGCUAGUUGGUGAGGUAAAGGCUCACCAAGGCGACGAUCAGUAGCUGGUCUGAGAGGAUGAUCAGCCACAUUGGGACUGAGACACGGCCCAAACUCCUACGGGAGGCAGCAGUGGGGAAUCUUGCGCAAUGGGCGAAAGCCUGACGCAGCCAUGCCGCGUGAAUGAUGAAGGUCUUAGGAUUGUAAAAUUCUUUCUCCGGGGACGAUAAUGACGGUACCCGGAGAAGAAGCCCCGGCUAACUUCGUGCCAGCCGCCGCCGUAAUAC
rnacentral:rRNA from 1 species